CGUCUGGUUGGGCCACUCAAGUUUUAAAAAAGAAAAUUCAACGUCUUCAGUGGCGCAGCAAGAACUGGCUUUUAGCGCGAUCGACGCAGGUUCGUAUCCGCCUUUUUCUGAGCUCACUCUUCUCCAUUUUCCCAUCACAUAUCAUCAGAAAGGCAUUUAUUUUCAAUAAAAAUGAAAAAAAAGUAAAUAAACUGCCUAACAAGUGUUUAAUAUAAGUAUAUAUUGCUAUUUUCACCUAGUGUAAAUAGCAUAUCGCUAAGAAAAUGCUGCUAUUGUCACUUAGUGUAAAUAGCCGCUGCUUAUAUAUAUAUAUAUAUGUAUAUAUAUAUAUACUGAUCAGGCAUAACAUUAUGACCACCUUCCUAAUAUUGUGUUGGUCCCUUUUGCUGCCAAAACAGCCCUGACCCGUCAAGGCAUGGACUCCACUAGACCCCUGAAGGUGUGCUGUGGUAUCUGGUUCCAAAAUGUUAGCAGCAGAUCCUUUAAGUCCUGUAAGUUGUGAGGUGGAGCCUCCAUGGACCGGACUUGUUUGUUCAGCACAUCCCACAGAUGCUCGACUGGAUUGAGAUCUGGGGAAUGUGGAGGCCAAGUCAACACCUCAAACUCAUUGUUGUGCUCCUCAAACCAUUUUUUAACCAUUUUUGCUUUGUGGCAGGGCACAUUAUCCUGCUGAAAGAGGCCACAGCCACCAGGGAAUACCGUUUCCAUGAAAGGAUGUUCAUGGUCUGCAUCAAUGCUUAGGUAGGUGGUACGUGUCAAAGUAACAUCCACAUGGAUGGCAGGACCCAAGGUUUUCCAGCAGAACAUUGCCCAAAGCAUCACACUGCCUCCUCCGGCUUGCCUUCUUCCCAUAGUGCAUCCUGGUGCCAUGUGUUCCCCAGGUAAGCGACGCACAUGCACCUGGCCAUCCAAGAAAACGUGAUUCAUCAGACCAGGCCACCUUCUUCCAUUGCUCCGUGGUCCAGUUCUGAUGCUUCACUGUUGGUGCUUUCGGCGGUGGACAGGGGUCAGCAUGGGCACCCUGACUGGUCUGCAGCUAUGCAGCCCCAUACGCAACAAACUGCGAUGCACUGUGUAUUCUGACACCUUUCUAUCAGAACCAGCAUUAACUUGAGCAAUUUGAGCUACAGUAGCUCAUCUGUUGGAUCGGACCACACGGGCCAGCCUUUGCUCCCCACGUGCAUCAAUGAGCCCAUGACCCUGUCGCCGGUUCACCACUGUUCCUUUCUUGGACCACUGUGUCCUUCUAAGAACCAAAACCAAGUCUUCUUUUGCUCUCCAUUCUCAUUGCUGUACAGGAGGAACAGCUGCAAUACUGAAGAGAUCUACAUAAUCUGACAAGUGUCUCCUUCAGAGUUUCGGAAGUUGCCAGCAUUGGAAGCAUAACGUCUGUGUGAACUGUAUAUGUCUAUAUGCUGUAUCUCAACACUUGGCUUAUUUGUUUCUAUUUUUAUGAUUUUGGCAGAAACAACUGAGACAAAGUUGAUGCUUAACUGGAACAUAAAUGAGAUCUCUCUCCUCAUUUCCUCCCAAAACACUCAUAAAUCUCGCUUUCCUCUGCUUUUCAGCACAACUGGACACAGAAGUUCAUAGCUGUUGACACACAUCAACUAAAUAAACCAGCCCGUCGAGUGAUUCCUCACCCAAAUACGUGAUAUGUGAGAAAAAAGGCACAGAUUUGCUGAUUAGUAAAUCCUAAAUAUUUUUUACGACACCCAUUGGCUUUCUUUUCCCAUUGUUUAAGAUGAGAAAGAAUAGAUUUUUUUAUAUCAAACAUCCAAGAGCUCAAAUGUAAACAAAUGACUUUCAGAAGACCAAGGCCUUUUAUGGAGUCCAGAACAGCUGAGAUAAAUUAAACUGUCAGUGUUUAUUUUCCAACAAAUCAGCAGUUGAGCACUCCAGCCCUUUGUCAGCUGAUAAAACACGCUGACGGAGGGCGAGAGACAAAACUAAUAUAAACCAAUAUAAAGACCAGAAAACCCAGACUUAAAUGGAUAAACGGAAAAAAGAUGGAAGUAGAAGUUUACUACGUAAUCCUGUGUUAUCGGAAUGGAAGAUCUGGGUCUUGUAAACCCGUGUGGUCAAGAAGCUUGAAAGUCUUUUAUUAGCUCGAGGAUUUUAAAGGUCUGUUUCUGUGCUAAUAGAUCCUCUCCGUCCUUUUAGGGAGGAGAGGCGCUCAUGUACAUCAAAGCAUGAAGAACGGAGAGAAAUAUCAGUCCCAGCUAUUGUUACAUGCCGAGGACUGUGUCCGUACAGUGGUGAUUCACUGCAGCCAGACUCCCAGGAGGUCAGGUGUCUGGACAUGAUGUCACACCACUAACAUCAUCUAGCAUCUGCUACCUGAAAGUGACAGCUCUUCACUUCUCCAUGGUGAAGAGAAAGUCUGCAUGGAAGAAGCCCUGUUCUGAGGUCAGUUUCCUGCUGUAACUCCAAUGUCAGAUUCAUUUCUGCUCCGGCUCCCGUUUUCCCAUGACCACAUGACCACAUGACUGACAACUCCACAACCUCCAUGAGUCCCCAGCGAGGUUGAACCCACAGAGUCUGGACAGGAGGCGCUGCUGGGGUUCCACCCACAAAUGUUCCGCCUUCCUCUGUGACCCAUUAUUCCCGUUUACGGUGAACAGAUCCACACACACACAGCGUGGGAAUCCCAACAUCUCAGGAUAAAUUUAGAGUCAGACAAAACAGUCCUAGAGCAUGUUUUCCACCAGCUAACACUGUACGUACAAUUAGUACAACUAGUCACUGGAUUUGUAUCCUUUAAUCUUUGAAUGUUCUAGUCUCAAAUCUUAUCAGCGUUUUUAGGAUAUUUCCAAAUGCUUGAAGAGUUUGCAGUUAGUAGGAAGUAAACAAGAUAUCCUUGACCACACUUUUAUAUUCUGCUUUGUUCUCAAGGUUAUAUUAUGAUUUACCAGCCUCUAAAAACUGAUACAGAUUUAAAUCUUGUGAACGCACAUAAUGUGGAUGUAGAAGUGUGAUGGAAAGCAGAACUAGUGGCCUUUAACCUUUUCUUUACGUCUACGUGAGAUGAUCGCAUCACCUCCUCCCAGGGGUCGAAAAGUCAGGUCUCAGGUGCCAUGACCACAGACCUCGCACUGACCAUCUACAAGCAUAAAAAACGUCAAGAGCUUUCUCAAAACAGCAUGGAUCUGUCAGAGAGCACUAGCUCUGAUCAGAUUAGCUGGCUUUCACACAACAUCAUUGAGUCAGGAAGCAAAGUUAUGUUCCCAGGCUGCUACAACAAACACUUCUGAAGAAGGGAAGUCAUUGGAUUUGUCAAAGUUUUCCGAGGCUAGGCUGUUCUGGGUGGUUUCUAUGGUGUUGCUAUGUGGUUGGAGACAUUCUGAGUGCUUUUUUUGUUCUGGGUGCUUGCUAGGCUGUUGCUUGGUGGUUGCUAAGGUGUUCUAAAUUGUUUACAUUACAAUGCAGUUGCUAUGCAGUUGCCAAUGCAUUGUUAAGCUGUCUUGAGUAGUUUUUGCCUGUGAGGUUCCAGGGCUGCUUCUUACGGAAGUAAAGUCGCUGGAUUCAUCAAAGUUUGUGAGGUUUAUGCUGCUGAAUCUUUGUAAGUAGACCAGAUAUGUUGCUAGACUACAUGGUUCCCGGCAUUGGAGGGGCGGGUUUGUUGAUCAAGAAAGUUUAAGCUUGAUUUCGGGAAAAACUGUUUCAUCUUUGCCUUAUAUAAAUACAAACUUAGAGUAUUGCUAACAUCCUCAGAUUACAGUCUCCGUUUCUCCGGGUGUGUUUCCUUUUGGAGCUUUGAAGAGUCUCUUUAAGAUAAGAUAUCUCUCUCUUCCAAUCGUGAGCUGCUUUUAACUAUUUAUAAACUCUAAGAAAUGGAAAUACUCACUCUCCCCUCACUAAUGUGUAGAGGUGUAAAGAGUACCUGAAAACCAUACUUGAGUAAAAGUAGAGAUACCUUACAGCAAAAAAGACUCUAUUACAAAUUUCAAGUCACCAAUUCCAAUACUACUCGAGCAAAAGUCCUAAAGUAUCUGAUUUUAACAGUACUUAAAGGCUUAGUUCACCCAAAAAUGAAAUUUCUGUCAUUAAUUACUCACCCUCAUGUCGUUCCACACCCGUAAGACCUUCAUUCAUCUUCAGAACACAAAUUAAGAUAUUUUUGAUGAAAUCCAAGAGCUCUCUGACUCCUCAAUAGACAGCAAUUUAACCACCACUUUCAAGGUCCAGAAAGGUACUAAAGACAUCGUUAAAAUAGUCAGCGUGACUGCAGUGGUUCAACCUUAAUUUUAUGAAGCUAUGAGAAUACUUUUUGUGCGCAAAAACAAAAUUGAAGCUGCAAGCAGCGAUGAAAGGGCCCUCGCACCCGGGGCCACCGCCACCCAGAGGCCUUAGGAAAACAGUGAACAGUGGGCGACAUGCAUUUAAGCGAGUAAAUACAGGAGAAUUAUGACAAAGUCAUUUCGACGUGCCACAUUUCCUGCUGCCAACAGGUGCCGCUUUGACUAUAACUGAAUAUUGCCAUGUAGAUGUCUUCAGGCCAGGACUAUUAUCAAACUUGUGAAGUUUGGGGCAGAUUGGACAUUGUAUGCAAGUUACAACAACUUCCUGUUUUGUGGUGUUAAACGCAAACAUUAGCACUUAGCCAAGUGUUGCAUGAUUUAACGUGUUUCUAGCAUGUUUGGUACUUCGUGGCAUAUUUAAAUGUGUGUCGGGGAGUGAACUACAGUGUAAAGCAUGCCAUUUCCUGUUGCCAACAGGUGGCGCUAUGACUAACUGAAUAUUUGCAUGUAGAUGUGCUCAGGCCAGGACUCUGAAGUUUGGGGCAGAUCAGACAUUGUAUGCCUGAGUUACAACAGCUUCCUGUUUCAUGGCGAAACAUCAGACUUUGUCAGGCCGCCACGGACACGGCGUUCAAUGAAAACUCAAGAUCUUUGCAAUUUAACAUCGCUAAGGCCUUAAGAUUAGACAGACCAAAUAUGAUGUUGUUCUGGUUAAAUCUCAAUGAGGAGUUAAUCACAGUGUAAAACAUGACAUUUCCUGUUGCCCACAGGUGGCGCUAUGACUGUAAGUGAAUAUUGCCAUGUAGAUGUUCUUCAGGCCAGGACUGACCAAAUAUGAUGUUGAUCUGAUUAAAGCUCUAGAUGAUCUGAUUAAAGCUCUAGUUCGUUAAAAUACAACGUCUGGAAAUGGCAAAAACUGCAAAAAUUUUGCAGAGAAAAUUCAAAAUAUCUCACUUCCUGUUGGGUUUUCAGAUUUUGCACCCAUGGACUUUUUUGUAGGUAUUGGACUGUUACAUGUGUCUACCGAACUUCAUACUCGUACGUGAAAUAUAACGCGAAGGGCGCUUAAUUGAAAUUUUGUAGGUGGCUCUAUCGAGCCACACCUAAUUCUGAAACCCAUAUCAGAUGUAAAUUUUCACCACUUCUGACGCGUGUGCAAAGUUUCAUGGGUUUUCGAGCAUGUUUAAGCCCUCAAAAAUGCAAUUCAUUUCGGAGAAGAAGAGUAAUUGACCGAGCAAUUACAAUAGGGUCCUCACACCAUCAGGUGCUCGGGGCCUAAUAACGACUUUAUUCAACAAUAUCUUCUCUGUGUUCAGCGUUUCCAGGUUCUACGUCAGAAUGCCGACUCAUUAUUGGCCGCCCCCUGUGUCAGCAUCACACGCAUGCGUCGUGCUGCUCACUGCUCACGUGAACAGCGUCAGCUAAUAUUGAGCUGGCGUUCUGACGUAGAACCUGGAAGCGCUGAACGAGUCUCAGUUAAGUGCUCAAAAAGUCCACAAGUAAGCCAAUAUCCUUCAAAAAAGGUCAUAAAUAAAAUAAUGUUAAGUAAAAUUAAAUAGUCAAAGCCUCUUGCCCUGGACAGGUUUCGACUGUAGCCAUGUCCUCUUCUCAUAUAUGAAAUACCUGCGAUUCUCAACUACCUGAUAAUGGACUCCAAUUCACGUAAAGUAUCCUUGUUGACAAGUUUGGGUGAAUAAGGGCAAAACGCACAAGAUAUAGUACCUGAAAUGCCCUGUAGAUGGCGAUAUCACUUCUUUUGUAGCAGAAAUAAACUGCUGCAGAAACAGUUAGGUGCCAUGCAAAAUGUAACGAGUAACUGCAUUACUCAUCACUAAUGUAUUUGAGUAAAGAGUCCAUAUACUUGUUCAAAAAUGUAGUCAAGUAGAGAGUAAAAGUUGCUAAUAUCUUUGAUACUCAAAGUACAAAGUAGCCAAAAAGAUACUUAAGUACAGUAACUAAUUACAUUUACUCAAAUACUUCACACCACUGCUAAUGUGCUCAUGUGAGGUAAUAUCACCUGACUCUUUCAUCAGGGACAGUUGGAUUGGACCUCAGGAGAUGUUAAAUCUUCCUGCUCUCCCAAUCGACACGAGAUGUAAUUUGCGAGCGCCAACCCUGCGCUGAAGAUCAUCAAUCAGAGAUGUGAAACCAUAACACAUGCCAUCUCUGUUUAUAUCUCUCUGUCUCUCUCGCGCUCUUCCCUCUGUCAUCUGGAUUACGUCUAUGAGCUGUCAGUGAUAGACCACAGGCCCACCUGAAAAUCUCCUCAGCCCUAAACAACUCUCUCCUCUACUCUCUGCAUGUUUAGAUAACCCCCCGGUCUGAGUUUCCAAACUAUUCGGUGUGUGUGAAAUUGCAACAAAAACACAAUGAAACUAUAUAAUUGGCUACAAUAUCUGAUGCAACUCAAUCGUUCGUCACAGCACCGAAAUCCCAUCUGUUAAAAACAAACAGAAGGUUACACAAGUACUAAAACACAUGCUAUGUGGUGGCUAAGACAUUUUUAACAUGUUGCUAUGCAGUCUGUGUUCUGGGUGGUUGCGAGGGUGUUUCUAUGUGGUUGCUAAUAUGUUCUGAGUGUUUUUAGUGCAGUGCUAUGCAGUUGCCAGGGCAUUUUUUGCCUUUGUGUUAUAGGUGGCUUUAGCACAUUGGUAGUUGCUAACUGCUUGUUUUCUGGAAAAGGAGCUCAUCCCAAAGCUCAAAUUAAUAGCACACCUCUCCUUUACAAGCCUUUACAAUUUGAGAUAUCAUUCAUGUCCAUAGCACAAACAGUGAUGAGCAAGUUAAAUACCAAAUUUAAAGUCAGUAAUUUUAUCCCUUAAAACUUAUCUUUGAUCACCAAAAUGACAUACUUAAUGUUUUUCUUGUGAAAAAACAUUCUUCAUGCCUUUAAAUAGCUUGAAUGUAACUCUACACCCUUGCUUCAUUUAGUAUACGCGGGUCCAUGUAUAUGCAAAUUAGCCCCGCCUCCACUCGCUCUCACAAGCUCAGAGAUCCACUUGGUCAACUUUACUGUAGUAAACGCUACAUAAUGGCAAGAAAGUACUGGCUUAAUUCAGUUUAAACCAGAAACUGAUUCAUAAGAAGUGAAAUAUCAGAAUGGUAAUGUGUUUUAGGUAUCACAGUUUACAACGUCGGAUACAUAACGGUAAUUAAUAUGAUUAGCCUUUAGCUUGACUACAUUAUCAAACAGCUAAAAAACUCACAAGCCGGUGGAAAAUAAUCGGGAUAGGACUCGGGCAGAAAUCAUGUUCAUGGAUGCGAUUAUUAACGUUACUGUAGUAUGAAGCAGAGCAGGGCCGAGUGUUGUGGGAGCUGAAUGAAGCCGCUGGAGCGAUUGCGCAACACACGCCACGAGCAGCGGAACUUUUAUUAUGCCACAGUCGCCGCCGCUGCUUCCGCUUUUCCGGUCAUGAGUAUGAGGUAACACAGCUCUGUUUAUCAUAUUAGAUACAUUUAAGAGUGUUGAAAAUGUUAUAACGUUACACUGUGCGUUCGCUCGGUGGCUGCUGUGAGACACUUGUUACACACUGCAGUAAGAUAGAUCGAUUUUAGAAUAUCCUAUUAAAUGCUGGAUGGCUUGUGUUGAUAAGUGGCAUGCAAUUCAUUUUAAAACAUAUUGUAUGAUGGAGAAAAUGCUGUAUUACUGUUGCUAAAAAUAAAGCUGCAUCUGAUUAUGCUAUGUUAGCUACUUGACAAAAUAGAGUUUUUCUCUGAGGCAUGGUAAAGCAUGGUACUCGCAGAAAAUCAAGAAAAUUAGAUUUAAACAAUAAGACUAAACGUGUUGACCUAUAUAACAAUAAUUAGUUUUUCUGUCUAUAAAUACAUCAAAACAGUUGUUCCCUUGCCUAUUAAAACAUGUAAAUAUUAAAGCGUCUUUGGUGUUUCCAUGGUUUCUACAAAAUAAAACCCGAAACACGGGUAACGCGGGUAUGACGCAAUUGACAGGCGACUCCUCACACGUCCCGGAGCCUUGGUUAAAAUUGCAAUUUUCUCACGAUUUACAAAUAGUUGCAAACAUUUGGGAUAUUGUAAGUACUCAAGUGAACAAAAUAUAUAACACUGGCCUAGUGGUUUUUGGAUAUUUUACUGCAAAAUUCUUACAUAUUGCACCUUUAAAAACACCACAUAGACACAUAAACAACAUUAAAAACUUGAUUUUCACAACAGGGGGUCUUUAAUAUUUUGUCACAGAGGUUUGUUCAAAUAACUAACACUAUGACUUUGAGAAAUAAUACUAGUAAUGUUUACCUUAGGAAGUACCACUUAUAAAAUUAUUUUCACAUCAAAUUUCUUUCAGGGUUCAUAGAAAGUCCGCACACAAACGUGACCUCAGCUCUGAAAUAGCACCAUCUAUGGGUCUGAAGCAGCAGAUGGGGCAGGAGAUCUGAUCUGGGGUCAGAUUUUCCCAUCAUACACUAAUAACUGACUCAUGAGAAUGAAACUUUCUCUCUCUCUCUCUUAGUUUUUCAUCAUGUGGUCUAUCUCUUUGUGUUGUUCUCAGCUGCAGGAACACUGCAGCGCAGGCAGUGGGUGGAACUAAUCUCAUUAAAUAUGAAAGAACUUCCAGUGAAUUGGGGAAAGAAAGAGGGAGUGAGAAAAAGAGGAGAGGAGAGGUCACUGAAGGUUGGUGUGUAUAUGUGUGGAAAUGGUUAUGCAGCUCAUAAAUCUCAACACGCUUCUCAGGAGAGUUGCGAGAACUUUGAAUAAGUUUGACGUAAUCGUGUCGCACUGCGUUAAUGCUGUUUGGAGGCGUGACUCAGAUGACGGACAUCUCGUUGGACAAAUAAGAACUCGAAAUCGGAUUUAUCUUUUUUAAUCUACAGGAAAUACCUGCUGAUUCUCUCUGGUGUUUUUAUGGAGAGUCUUUAAAGUAGAAUAAGAAGAAGAAAUAGAAAGAAAAUAGCAUCUGGUCUGGUGAGCUGGAAUAUUUAAAGGGGUCAUAACAUGAAAAACAUUAUUUUCCUUGAUCUUUUGAAAUGUACCAUGUAGCUUUGCUGGAUGUUGCUCAAAAUUGCUAACUCUCAUUGAAAAUAAUUAAUUUCUAAUCAUUUUAUCUUUUCAAAAUACACUCUCAGUGUUCUCUUUUGAUUAAAAAGAUUAAGAAUUUUACUUAUAUAAAGGCACAAUAUGUAAUAUUUUUAUAUUAAAAUAUCCAAAAACCACUUUUACGUCAACACGUUUAGUCUUAUCGUUUGUUUUACCGCAAGUACCAUGUUUUUACCAUGCCUCAUAGACAACACUAUUUUGUCAAGUGGCUAACAUAGCAUAAUCAGAGAGAGCUUUUUCCAUCAUAAAAUAUAUUUUUAAAUUAAUUGCAUGUCAUUUAGCAACACAAGUCAUCCAGUUUUUAUUAAUACGACAUUCUAAUAUCGAUCUAGAUUACUGCAAAGUGCAAGAAGUCUCUUAUACUAGCCACCGAGCGAAUGCAUGUUACACCAUAACUUUCAACACACUCAAAUGUGUUUAGUAUGAUUGUUUUAACCAUGUAAAACAGUGCUGUGUUAUCCCACAUACACAACGAAAAUAGCGGAAGCGACCGACUGCAGCAUAAGCAUAAUAAAAGCUCCGCUGGACUUCCGCGGCUCUUGGCCCCACCCUGCUUCAUACCACAGUAAAGUUGAUAAAACUUUAGCUCAUCCAUGAACAUGAAUUCUGCCCAAGUCCGUCAGAUUGCUUUUCAUCACCUGUGGAGGUGAAGACGACAACUCCCAUGAUUCCACGCGUCAUCAAGCUACACCUUUGUUUUGAAUAAGCGACCUCUAGAGGCGAAAAUUACAUAUUGUGCCUUUAAGUUUUUUUUUUUUUUGUUCUUUUGAAUAACAUACACUAAUGAUUUAUGAAAAAUUAGAGCAGGAACAUGUACUAAUACUACCGUUCAAAAGUUUGUGGUCAGAAAGAUUGUUUUUUUUAACGAAAUUAAAACUUUUAUUCAAGAGGAUGUAUUAAAUUGAUCAAAAGUGAGUCAAUAAAUUCAUGUUAUGAAAAACUUUUCAACUUUCUGUUCAUCAAAGAAUCCUAAAAAAAAAAAAAGUAUCAUGUUUUCCACAAACAUUUGAACGAUAGUGAACUACAAUAGGAAUGUUUUUGAUUUCAUGUAGGGUCAGAGAGAGAAAAAAAAGAGUAAUGUAAAUGUAAAUUACAUCUGUUUUUGGUUGCAUGAAAUGUCUAAGAUUAUAAGAGGACUUCACAGAAGUGUAGAAUAUGAUUACUUUGAAGAAAACACACAUAAAACAACUCCCACUCAAGUUAGAGAACAUCUAAUGCCACUAAAAUAAUAAGAAACACAAUGUUGCUAUGGUUUCUAAGAGCAUUCUGCCCAAAUCAACCAACAUAAACUUUCAUAUCACUCAGACAAACACAUCAGAACACCACAAAUUCCACAAUCAUUGCAGAAGUGCAGUUAUUUACCCAUAUGAUAUGAAUCUGAACACAUUGGGCACCAAUUAUAACACACAGAGGCAGAUUACAUCAGGAAAAUGGAAAUUAGCCGUAUAUGGACUCAAUGACCAGGAUGAGGAAGUUGAAUCAUGGAAAUUUGAAUACAUCAUUUUACUUGGGUUGGCAAGAGAGGUUCUUACCUAACGGCAGAGGAAUGCAGAGAGAGAGAGAGAGAGAGGCUAGUGACUGUAGCGUUCAGUUUACCAUCAGUCUGUCUAUUACUCUGAAGCAUUUGUAACUGCAAAAUCUGUGACCUUUCUCCUGUACAGACAGAUUUGUUUGACCUCUAGGGCUCCUGAGAUGCUAAUGUUUGUCUCGCUGCUGAAAUUUAUAGUUACGUUUACAUAGGAAAUACAGCACAGUAACAAACACAAAUGAAACAUCCUGUGAGUUUUUGCUGUUGCUGGCCUUACAUCAGGUGGCAAAACCAUAUAAGAAUACCAAGCCCAAAAUAACAUGGUACUUUCUGUAAGGGCGGCAUACUUGCUCUAAAAGUCUGAAAACUCUUCCAUCAUGAUGAAUUUUAGAUCUUUAUUGUGUUUUAAUGCAUAUCAGAGAUGGAGCCUUGUAUGUGUGGUUAUCCUGCAAGUCUCCCAGGCUUCGUUUCGUAUAAGAGCCAUUCCAUUGAGCUCCACUUAACAGGUUAAAUAUUUCAUGCACGCACCGAACUGCCACUUUGAGUUCAGAGAUAAAGACGAGCAGCAGUCGCCUGCAGCUCCCUAAACUCCACAGAGCCUGCAAUCAUUCAACAACUCUAUUUCUAUACUUUCUUUCUUAUGUGUUUUUCCCCUGAACACACUCAAAGCUCAGGACUGAAAGUUUGCUGGUUUGAUCCCCAGGAGCGAGAAACGAACAUCAUUGUGCUCUGGAGCAAGACGCUUAACCUCAGGUUACUUCAGUGGGAUCUGCUAAAUGACAACAUGUUAACUGUGACUGUCAUUUUUAAAGGGUCAUAUGACAUAUUUUUUAAUUAUUUUGUGCGUGUUGUUUUGCAUCACAAAAAAAAUAAAAUAAAUAAUAAUAUUUUUGCACCAAAAACAGUCAUAAUUUAGUUUUUCCACAACCACUAUUCACUAUUCUUUUUUGAGUACAUUUUUGCAAAAACUAUUAAUAUUUUAUUAAACUAAAAGGAAUUUGUUAAAGGCACAAUAUGUAAGAUUUUGGAUUAAAAUAUCCAGAAACCACUAGAACAAUGUUAUAUAUUGAUAUAUAAUGUUAUAUAAUUAUAUACUUACAUUAUCUAAAAUGUUUCUAACAGUGUUUAAAUCCAGAGAAAUCUAUGGAAGCUUGUUUCCGCCAUGAAAUAAAAAAUAAAAAAGCUAACUGCAAGUUUAUAUAUCACAUUUCUGACUUUUUUUCUCAGAAUUGCGAGAUAUAAAGUCAGAAUUGCGAGUUAUGAAGUCAGAAUUGCGAGUUAUAGUUAUGAAGUCAGAAUUGUGAGUUAUAAAGUCAGAAUUGCGAGGUAUAAAAUCAGAAUUGCGAGUUAUAAAGUCAGAAUUGCAAGUUAUGAAGUCAGAAUUGUGAGAUAUAAAGUAAGAAUUGCAAGUUAUAAAGUCAGAAUUGCGAGUUAUAGUUAUGAAGUCAGAAUUGUGAGUUAUAAAGUCAGAAUUGCGAGGUAUAAAAUCAGAAUUGCGAGUUAAAAAGUCAGAAUUGCGAGAUAUAAAGUCAGAAUUGCGAGUUAUAAAAUCAGAAUUGCGAGUUAAAAAGUCAGAAUUGCGAGUUAUGAAGUCAGAAUUGCGAGAUAUAAUGUCAGAAUUGCGAGUAAAAAAGUCAGAAUUGUGAGAUAAAAAAAGUCAAAAUUGCAAGUUAUAAAGUCAGAAUUGUGAGUAAAAAAAGUCAAAAUUGCAAGUUAUAAAGUCAGAAUUGUGAUAUAAAGUCAGAAUUGCAAGUUAUAAAUUCAGAAUUGCAUUUUAUAAUGUCCAAUUGUGAGGGAAAAAACAUUUUUUGCGUUUUUUUCACAGAAUUGUUAGUUUAUAUCUAGCGAUUCUGACUUUAUAAGACGCAAUUGUGAGUUUAUAGCAUGCAAUUCUGACUUUAUAACUUGCAAUUGUGAGUUUAAAUCUCGCAAUUGCAAGAAAAAAAGUCAGAAUUGUGAGAUAAAAAGUCGCAAUUAUCUUUUUUAUUUUUAGAAUCCAUGGAAACAUCAGACGCUUUAAUAUAUACUGUUUUAUUAGACAGGUGAGCAACUUUUUGGAUACCUUUAUCAACAGAAGUCUAUUAUAUAUUAUAUAAACGACAGCGGCAUAUACGCAUAAUAAAAACAGCAACGAAAAAUGUCCCAGGCCUGGUCCUCUCUCGCUAUUCACUGUCAUCAUUCCUUCUUAUAUCCUUCCGGAGCUCCUUUAUGGAACUCGAGGUCAAUGUGUCGCGCAGGUGUCUCUCAUUAGCAUUCGCUCCACUGGCCUCAUUCUGCUCCCACAGCUCUCGGCCCCACUCUGCUUCAUACCACAGUAAUGUAAUAAAACUUUAAUACAUUAACUCAUCUAUGAACAUGAUUUCAUGCUGGAGUCCCGUGAGAUUGCUUUCCAUCAGCUGUGAAGGUAAAGACGACACCUCCCAUGAUUCCUCGCUCAUUCACGGCGUCAUCAAGCUACGCCUUUAUCGUUUUGAAUAAGUGACCUCUAGUGGUGAAACUUGCAUACUGUGCCUUUAAAUCUGCAGAGUGGCAGGUUCUACACACAGCCAGAAACAACACAAGGAUUGACUGACUUUGUACACAUUGUUCUAUUAAAUCAUUAGUUGUUCUGGUAUUAAAUUAUGCAAAAAAAAAAAAAAAAAUGGGUGUGAUUCUUUUUUUCAGAAUUUGACUAAAAGUUUUCUUUCGGUUUUACUGUGACCUUCAGUUGAGGCAAUGCGAGGCGUUGUGUGAUGCUGGGCAGAUUUCGUGCUUAUAUCAUGAUGCAAUCCUUUAAGAAAAGAAAACUCCUCCACGCUGGGAUAACUAGCACUUUCCCGGCUGGAAUUCCACUCGUUAUUCAUCAACUGCGCCACAUUCCAGUGCAGUGACAUCAUAAUGAAAGACUCCUCUACAAAUCAGAUUCCUGUGGCAUAAACUCUCCUUUCCUCUGAUCAGUAAAGGUAUGUUCAUCAAGAGACAGAGAAAAGAGGAAGAGGAAGAAAGAUCUGGCUGGAUGCAUUUUCCACAUGAAAUCCGAUAAUUUGCAAAACCUCACACAGUGCACAGGUUUGUGCCAUCCGAAGAAUAAAACUAUUUAUUUUUACAUCAGUCAGAGAAUGAACAAACAUACAAAAAGCUAUUGACAACAUGUAAUGGCUGAAAUAACUACUAAAAUAUUGGUCAUUUUCUCAGAAAUUAUACUUUUCCAAGAGGUCAAAAUGGCUGAGUAGCCAUUAGUGCUUCCUUUGUUUUGAAAUGGAUCCAUGUUAGGUCUUCCUCUCUGAAUCUCUGCAGGUUUGAAAGUUUUACUUUCUUUCACACAUAGUGGAAGAAUUCGGAGGAUUUUGCGAAUUUCUGGCACAGGUGAGGUCCUGUCAUGAAGCAUUUGGAUCAUUUAAUAACGUUAAUAUUUCUGGCUUUCUCUUCCUCAGAUCUGCUAAUACAUCCAAAACAGGUUUCACAUGACCAGUGUGCUUUAUGAAAUACAAUACUGUGGAAAAACAGUCGAAAGAAAGACAGGAGAUUUUGCUUAUUGUGUCCAGCUGUUAGUUUUGGAGAUGUGUGAAAAUGUGAGGCAGAAGAUGAUAUUUCAUCAUGAGGUUUCUCUAUGUGAGUUUCACUAACAGCCAAUUAGAAUUCAGAUUUUUACAGCAUAUUCAGCCAAAAGUCCUGUAUAAAUGAUUUUCCGUUUUAC